rnacentral:rRNA from 1 species
UACAGAGGUCUCAAGCGUUGUUCGGAUUCAUUGGGCGUAAAGGGUGCGUAGGCGGCGCGGUAAGUCGGGUGUGAAAUCUCGGGGCUUAACUCCGAAACUGCAUUCGAUACUGCCGUGCUUGAGGACUGGAGAGGAGACUGGAAUUUACGGCGUAGCGGUGAAAUGCGUAGAUAUCAGGAGGAACACCGAUGGCGAAGGCAGGUCUCUGGGCCGGUACUGACGCUGAGACGCGAAAGCGUGGGGAGCAAACAGG